UGGCCGGAAUCUGGUAGCUGCUGCAUUCUCCGAUGGGGCCCUUCGGGGUGGAUACUGGCGAACGGGUGAGUAACGCGUGGGCAAUCUGCCCUUCACUCUGGGACAAGCCCUGGAAACGGGGUCUAAUACCGGAUACAAGUUCGGGAGGCAUCUCCCGGGGUGGAAAGCUCCGGCGGUGAAGGAUGAGCCCGCGGCCUAUCAGCUUGUUGGUGGGGUAAUGGCCUACCAAGGCGACGACGGGUAGCCGGCCUGAGAGGGCGACCGGCCACACUGGGACUGAGACACGGCCCAGACUCCUACGGGAGGCAGCAGUGGGGAAUAUUGCACAAUGGGCGAAAGCCUGAUGCAGCGACGCCGCGUGAGGGAUGACGGCCUUCGGGUUGUAAACCUCUUUCAGCAGGGAAGAAGCGCAAGUGACGGUACCUGCAGAAGAAGCGCCGGCUAACUACGUGCCAGCAGCCGCGGUAAUACGUAGGGCGCAAGCGUUGUCCGGAAUUAUUGGGCGUAAAGAGCUCGUAGGCGGCUUGUCACGUCGGGUGUGAAAGCCCGGGGCUUAACCCCGGGUCUGCAUCCGAUACGG
rnacentral:rRNA from 1 species